rnacentral:rRNA from 1 species
UUGCACCUCGGGGGGCAGCAGUGAGGAAUAUUGGUCAAUGGCCGAGAGGCUGAACCAGCCAAGUCGCGUGAGGGAAGACGGCCCUACGGGUUGUAAACCUCUUUUGUCGGGGAGCAAAGCGAGUCACGUGUGACUCAUUGAGAGUACCCGAAGAAAAAGCAUCGGCUAACUCCGUGCCAGCAGCCGCGGUAAUACGGAGGAUGCAAGCGUUGUCCGGAUUUAUUGGGUUUAAAGGGUGCGCAGGCGGAGGUGCAAGGCAGCGGUCAAAUUGCGGGGCUCAACCCCGUACUGCCGUUGAAACUGCA